CUUCCAGGGUGGAGUGACACUGGGCUGAGAUCACCAGCCCCACAGGUCUUGGCAGAACCGUGUUGCAGGUCUAAUUUGUAUGGCAGGGGCAUCCUACUCCCUGGCCAUAGUCCUGGCAUGGCAGCUCUCCCAGGAAAGCAGAGAACAAGGAGCUUUGUCCUGUCACAAAUGGGGACACAAAAGCCCGGAAACAUGGGCUGACUAUAAGGAGGGGGCACCUGUGUGGCCCUUUGGCUUGUGGGGGACCCCUGCCUGGAGACCCCUGCCUGUUGCCAAGGAGCCUAUGGCCUCGCACCUCCCUGGACCCCAGACCACAAGCCCCAGGGUGCAGAGAGCUUUCGCUUUGCAGCCAACUGCACACAGUCUUGACUCAAAAGACCUGUCUCCAAGGAAACGGGCCUUCCUGUCCAUGGGCCCAGUGUCCAAAGGGGACAGAGCGGGGAUAUCUGGUUCUGGAAGGACCCACACAGUAUCGUCACUCCUUAUAAGCCCGAGGGUGCAGGGGAGGGGCUAGGUGUCACCAUCUCCCGCCUAGAAACCAUGCUUUUGCACGUGGUGAUGUGUGAGACUUGUGUGAACACACAUUCACUGUCAUGGCUGGGUGGAGAAUUUAAACACAGACAGCACUGCAUCCCUCUUGCCAGUCCCGUGCCACACUCUGCCACUUCCAGCUCAUCCUGCCACCCAAGGACUACAGGCUGGAGCGGAGGAUGUGUGCUCUUUGCGUGUGCCUUGUGCUGAUCCCUCUGACUUUCGAUGCAGUCAUUGCGAAGGGGCUGGAGAGAUGGCUCAGCGGUUAAGAGCACCCGACUACUCUUCCAGAGGUCCAGAGGUCCAGAGGUCCUGAGUUCAAUUCCCAGCAACCACAUGGUGGCUCACAACAAUCUGUAAAGAGAUCUGAUGCCCUCUUCUGGUGUGUCUGAAGACAGCUACAGUGAACUUAUAUAUAAUAAAUGAAUAAAUCUUUAAAAAAUUGUUUCAAAAGGUAAAGAAAAA